rnacentral:lncRNA from 1 species
CCAGGCCUGGCUGAGCUGGAGAGCAUUGCGUGUCUGGCACGCCUCAGGCAGGUGCUGGGCGCAAACAUGGCUGCUGGCCGUGAGGCAGAGGGAGCGGGGAGCGCCCAGGUGGGAGAAUCAUGGCUAUUAAGGCCUAGUGGUGCUCGCAGGGCUCUGAGGUGUGCGUCCUAAAGAAAAAUACAGAGGAGAGGAGAGAGUUGGAAGAAAACUCUUACAUAAUAAUGAAGUUUAUGAAGGGAGACUGAAAUGAAAAUCUCAAUUUAAUCUUAUCACUCCAAGUCAACUGUAUGACAGAACUUUCCAGAACACCUGCCAGCCAGAGAGGUACCAAAUUACAAGACAGCCUGAGCUUCAGGAAUAGUUUCAAAACCCCCAGACAACUCCAAGUUUCUCUUUUAUGUGCAGUAUUGGAGGAGGGAGCUCACAGGAAGGAGUGCUUCAAAUUGGAAGAAUACCUGUACUCUUUAGGUAUGUAACAGUUAAAAACUUUUUACAAAUACCUACAAUAAAAAUAUUCAAACUAAAAUAAAAAAUACA